AGAGUUUGAUCCUGGCUCACNANNAAANCUGGNGGCGNGCUUAACACAUGCAAGUCGANCUAGNNNUAUNNNGAGCUUGCUUUUGAAAGUCGAGUGGCAAACGGGUGAGUAACGCGUANACAACCUGCCGUAAAGAUGGGGCCCACAGUCCGAAAGGACUGCUAAUACCGAAUGUUUGUGGAACUUCUGCUGGGAGCUCUACUAAAGAUGGCCUCUACUUGUAAGCUAUCGCUUUACAUGGGGUCUGCGUCUGAAUAAGUUAGUUGGGGGGGGGUAACGGCUUACCUAGGCGACAAUCAGUAUCCCGUCUGGAGAGGAGGAAGGCCACAUUUGGAACUGAACACGGUCCAACUCCUACG
rnacentral:rRNA from 1 species